GGCGUCGUGGCGCAAUGGCUAGCGCAUAGAGCUUCUAAACGUUCAAAUAGGGGGGUUUUAUCCCCUUUGAAAAAUAACUCUAAGGCUGCGGGUUCGAGUCCCGCCGGUGCCU